rnacentral:rRNA from 1 species
AAUCAACGCUGGCGGCGUGCCUAACACAUGCAAGUCGAACGAGAAAGUGGAGCAAUCCAUGAGUAAAGUGGCGACCGGGUGAGUAACACGUGACUAACCUACCUUCGAGUGGGGGAUAACCUCGGGAAACCGGGGCGUAAUACCGCAUAACAUCUUUGGAGUGGAAAUUUCGGAGAUCAAAGGAGCAAUUCGCUGGAAGAGGGGGUCGGCGGCUGAUUAGCUAGUUGGCGGGGUAACGGCCCACCAAGGCUUAGAUCGGUAGUCGGCCUGAGAGGGCGCACGGCCACACUGGAACUGAAACACGGUCCAGACUCCUACGGGAGGCAGCAGUGGGGAAUUUUGCGCAAUGGGGGAAACCCUGACGCAGCAACGCCGCGUGGAGGAUGAAGUCCCUUGGGACGUAAACUCCUUUCGACCCGG